GACACUAAGGUUUGAGAGUCUCAAAGUGUGUAUGUAUCCAGGGUAAGGGGUAACCAGCAACCUAUUUUUCUAAUGUUAUCAUGAAACACAAAACAAAAUUGACAUGAAGGAAGAAUUCCAACUUGAAAAGAACAAUACAGUUAUUAUUCUGAAGGAUUUUGGAGUCAAAUAUAGAGUUUAUGUACAUAUCAUAAAUCAAAUAAAAGAAUUAGAUGGCCAUUUUUAGCAGAAUCUUCUUAACUUCAAUAUGAAUUUUCCUGGCAUUGUAGCUGCUGGAAUGGCUACAACAUUAGCUAUGGGAAGACAUAGCUUCUUUACAAAAGUAUAAGCAGGCACCUCUCAGAAACUUCCUCUGUUUGAGCUUUGGAGCUUUAGUGCAAAUCAUCCUAUUAUUUGCUAGAAAGUUCAGAGCGGCAAUAUCUUCUGAUAAAAUAUCAUAUAAACAUAUAGAUAUCAACUGAUAGCUCUAAAUGCGUCAGAAUUCCCUCUAGUACUGGUAAUAUAGAAUUGAAUACAUCUGUUAUAAAUUAAUAUUAAAUAAAUAGUAACAAUUGUUGUUAAAUACACCAAAUUAAAUGUUGGAGAGUACAGAGAGACAUGAAAUAAAGAAUAUCUAAUGCCUAAUGUCUAUGGAAACCUUUUAAGCAGUCAUAUCAAAUUUUCACAGAGUUAAAAUCUAUACUUCACCUAAAUUUUAGAACUCUAGUGCUCAAAAUGCAACUGUAGAAGUUCUUGAUUUUAACGUGACAACCUUUUGGGUAAAAUGUUAUUUCACAUAUUAAUUUUGUCACUGAUUUUUUUUAGAUGCAAUAUUUUGAACUAUAAUGUAUAUUAAUAGCUGGUAAGAAACAGAAAGUUAAUGAAAUUGGAAGGUAUUUGCUUUUACAGUCCACC